AGGCCUUGAAAAAGUCUGCUCCGAGUCGAAUGGGUCAGAGAUAGACUCAUAACGAUAGGAUAUGCUGGAGUCAAGCUGGAGAUGGUCGUAAAUAUCCAAUCGGCAGAGAUCUGAGCAAAGGCCUUCAAGAUCAAACCUUGAAUCUUCAAGUAACAGGGGUAUAAUGGCACAUGGAUGUGAGUAUAGGCCAUCCAGGGCUUGGGGUGCCAUUGAUUUCGGUGAAACAAGGUGGAACUGGCGGGGUAGGGCUGGGGUUUCAGAGGAAGUUAGAGAGAGUUUGAGAGACGAAGGGAUUUUAGGGGCGGG
rnacentral:lncRNA from 1 species